AAACUUUGCAAUGUGCGAAAGCACGACAAGGUUAAUCCGAGUGGUCUCUGCUAAAGGGACCUUUUGACAGUCCUAAAAACACUGUUGAAUAAGGGGUGGGCAAGUUCUGGUGUCAGCCGCCGCGGUAAAACCAGCACCUCAAGUGGUCAGGAUGAUUAUUGGGCCUAAAGCAUCCGUAGCCGGCUAUGCCAGUUUUCGGUUAAAUCCAUGCGCUUAACGUAUGGGCUGCCGGGAAUACUACAUAGCUAGGAAGUGGGAGAGGUAGACGGUACUCGGUAGGAAGGGGUAAAAUCCUUUGAUCUAUUGAUGACCACCUGUGGCGAAGGCGGUCUACCAGUACACGUUCGACGGUGAGGGAUGAAAGCUGGGGGAGCAAACCGG
rnacentral:rRNA from 1 species